AAUAGUUGUAGUAAUUAGUUGUUUUUGUUAUUUAACACCAGGUCAGUCCCACUUAUGAUCAUGCUGCUUUUAUGUUUAAGAAGAAAAAGAAAGACAGAAAGAAAGAAGAAGAAAAAAAGAACUCGUCUAAAUUAUAAUUGAAGAAGUAAAAUAUCGUUAACAUUUAACGGAUUAUUAAAAGUAGAGACACAGAACAGAAAAUUGACCAUCAGCCAUCUCGUUGUCAGUGAAAAACUUAAGGUUUCUAUCUUAAUAGAGAUGUUCAACAUACAUAGGUGAGUGUAUACGGUCUGUAUGUAUGUGAAAGAGAGACGUUGGGAAGUAAAAGCAGGGCAGUCUGUGAGCAGUAAGCCACCAAGAGAUUCCCAAAACACAAAGAACUUAGACAAACUUUUAUACUGGACUGUUUUGUUUUUGUCUUUUUUUUUUACAAAGAAUAUGAAGAGAAAAGAAAAAAAUCUUGUAAAAACAAACAAGAAAAUGGAGUUGAAGAAAUGUUGUAAUGAAAUAAAUAAAUAAAUAAAAAAAUAAAACAGACAGGAAGUAGAAAAA